UUGUAUGGGGGAAAUUGAAAGGCAUUUGAAAAGCAUUGAGCUCAAAUGUUGAAAAAAAAAAUGCAUGAGAAAAAGAAAAGAAAGAAAAAAAGAAAAGCAUGAAGAUGAGCUCAAUGCAAAAGAAAAGGGAAAAAGUUGGGAAAUAAUUGAGAUUGGUGAGGAAGAGAGUUGUGUUUAAAUGUUGAAUACUAUUGUGGCUCUCUUAACUCAAGGAUUUUACAUUCCAAAAACACCAAUUUUUCUUGUUAGCUGAUGAAGGUUGAAAUAUAGUUAUUUUCAUAUGUCAAUUUGGACCAAAUUACACCCUUUAC
rnacentral:lncRNA from 1 species